GACGAACUCUGGCGGCGUGCCUAAUACAUGCAAGUAGAACGCUGAAGGAGGAGCUUGCUUCUCUGGAUGAGUUGCGAACGGGUGAGUAACGCGUAGGUAACCUGCCUGGUAGCGGGGGAUAACUAUUGGAAACGAUAGCUAAUACCGCAUAAUAGUAGAUGUUGCAUGACAUUUGCUUAAAAGGUGCAAUUGCAUCACUACCAGAUGGACCUGCGUUGUAUUAGCUAGUUGGUGGGGUAACGGCUCACCAAGGCGACGAUACAUAGCCGACCUGAGAGGGUGAUCGGCCACACUGGGACUGAGACACGGCCCAGACUCCUACGGGAGGCAGCAGUAGGGAAUCUUCGGCAAUGGACGGAAGUCUGACCGAGCAACGCCGCGUGAGUGAAGAAGGUUUUCGGAUCGUAAAGCUCUGUUGUAAGAGAAGAACGAGUGUGAGAGUGGAAAGUUCACACUGUGACGGUAUCUUACCAGAAAGGGACGGCUAACUACGUG
rnacentral:rRNA from 1 species